GUCGUCGUCGUCGUCGUCGUCUUCUUCUUUCUGUCCCACUAAGCAAAACCCAUGACCCAAACCCAAACCCGCAAGAUCUCACCUUCUCACUACUUACUUCCCUUCGCAUUAACUCACUCUCCCCACAUCUUCAUAUCCAAUACCUAAAAGCUCUCAUCUUUCUUCCUUCUGCUGCUUCACAUUUUUCUUUCUUUUAGCACCAUGGAUCCUCACAUCUAUGGUGUCUCCUUUACUCUCUGCUUUUUCCUCCUUUUCUCUGCAUUGCCUCAAUACCCAUCUUCUAAGCUCC
rnacentral:misc_RNA from 1 species